rnacentral:rRNA from 1 species
AUUGAACGCUGGCGGCAGGCCUAACACAUGCAAGUCGAACGGUAACAGGAAGACGCUUGCUUCUUUGCUGACGAGUGGCGGACGGGUGAGUAAUGUCUGGGAAACUGCCUGAUGGAGGGGGAUAACUACUGGAAACGGUAGCUAAUACCGCAUAACGUCGCAAGACCAAAAAGGGGGACCUUCGGGCCUCUUGCCAUCGGAUGUGCCCAGAUGGGAUUAGCUAGUAGGUGGGGUAACGGCUCACCUAGGCGACGAUCCCUAGCUGGUCUGAGAGGAUGACCAGCCACACUGGAACUGAGACACGGUCCAGACUCCUACGGGAGGCAGCAGUGGGGAAUAUUGCACAAUGGGCGCAAGCCUGAUGCAGCCAUGCCGCGUGUAUGAAGAAGGCCUUCGGGUUGGAAAGUACUUUCAGCGGGGAGGAAGGGAGUAAAGUUAAUACCUUAGCUCAUUGACGUUACCCGCAGAAGAAGCACCGGCUAACUCCGUG